GAUGAACGCUGGCGGCGUGCCUAAUACAUGCAAGUCGAGCGAACAGACGAGGAGCUUGCUCCUCUGACGUUAGCGGCGGACGGGUGAGUAACACGUGGAUAACCUACCUAUAAGACUGGGAUAACUUCGGGAAACCGGAGCUAAUACCGGAUAAUAUAUUGAACCGCAUGGUUCAAUAGUGAAAGACGGUUUUGCUGUCACUUAUAGAUGUAUCCGCGCCGCAUUAGCUAGUUGGUAAGGUAACGGCUUACCAAGGCAACGAUGCGUAGCCGACCUGAGAGGGUGAUCGGCCACACUGGAACUGAGACACGGUCCAGACUCCUAAGGGAGGCAGCAGUAGGGAAUCUUCCGCAAUGGGCGAAAGCCUGACGGAGCAACGCCGCGUGAGUGAUGAAGGUCUUCGGAUCGUAAAACUCUGUUUUUAGGGAAGAACAAAUGUGUAAGUAACUAUGCACGUCUUGACGGUACCUAAUCAGAAAGCCACGGCUAACUACGUG
rnacentral:rRNA from 1 species